CCAAUGAUCGAGCCAGCUUGCUGGUGAAGUGACUGAACGAGGUUCCAGGAAAAGCCACUAAGCUUCAGCUACACACGACCGUACCGCAAACCGACACUGGUGCGCGAGAUGAGUAUUCUAAGGCGCUUGAGAGAACUCAGGAGAAGGAACUCGGCAAAUUGACACCGUAACUUCGGAAGAAGGUGUGCCCUAGUAGUGUGAAGUGAACAACGGAGCAUGAAUGGGUUGCAAAAAAUCGGUGGCUGCGACUGUUUAUUAAAAACACAGCACUCUGCAAACACGAAAGUGGACGUAUAGGGUGUGACGCUUGCCCGGUGCUGGAAGAUUAAAUGAUGGGGUGCAAGCUCUUGAUUGAAGUCCCAGUAAACGGCGGCCGUAACGAUAACGGUCCUAAGGUAGCGAAAUUCCUUGUCGGGUAAGUUCCGACCUGCACGAAUGGCGUAACGAUGGCCACACUGUCUCCUCCUGAGACUCAGCGAAGUUGAAAUGUUUGUGAUGAUGCAAUCUCCCCGCGGAAAGACGGAAAGACCCCAUGAACCUUUACUGUAGCUUUGUAUUGGACUUUGAACAGAUCUGUGUAGGAUAGGUGGGAGGCUUUGAAGCAGGGUCGCUAGAUCUUGUGGAGCCAACGUUGAAAUACCACCCUGGUGUGUUUGAGGUUCUAACCUAGGUCCAUUAUCUGGAUCGGGGACAGUGCAUGGUAGGCAGUUUGACUGGGGCGGUCUCCUCCCAAAGCGUAACGGAGGAGUUCGAAGGUACGCUAGUUACGGUCGGACAUCGUGACGAUAGUGCAAUGGCAUAAGCGUGCUUAACUGCGAGACUGACAAGUCGAGCAGAUGCGAAAGCAGGACAUAGUGAUCCGGUGGUUCUGUAUGGAAGGGCCAUCGCUCAACGGAUAAAAGGUACUCUGGGGAUAACAGGCUGAUACCGCCCAAGAGUUCAUAUCGACGGCGGUGUUUGGCACCUCGAUGUCGGCUCAUCUCAUCCUGGGGCUGUAGCCGGUCCCAAGGGUAUGGCUGUUCGCCAUUUAAAGAGGUACGUGAGCUGGGUUUAAAACGUCGUGAGACAGUUUGGUCCCUAUCUUCCGUGGGCGCUGCAGAUUUGAGGAAGCCUGCUCCUAGUACGAGAGGACCGGAGUGGACACACCUCUGGUGUAUCGGUUGUCACGCCAGUGGCAUUGCCGAGUAGCUAAGUGUGGAAGAGAUAACCGCUGAAAGCAUCUAAGCGGGAAACUCGUUUCAAGAUGAGAUCUGCCGGGGCCUUGAGCCCCCUGAAGAGUCGUUCAAGACCAGGACGUUGAUAGGUCAGGUGUGGAAGCGCAGUAAUGCGUUAAGCUAACUGAUACUAAUUGCUCGUGCGGCUUGACC
rnacentral:rRNA from 1 species